rnacentral:rRNA from 1 species
AGCAGCCGCGGUAAUUCCAGCUCCAAUAGCGUAUAUUAAAGUUGUUGCAGUUAAAAAGCUCGUAGUUGAAUUUCGGGGUUAGUAGGUUGGUCGUGCCACUGGUACGUACUGGUCUCACUGACUCCUCCUUCCUGAUGAACUGUAAUGCCAUUAAUUUGGUGUUGCAGGGAAACUGGACUGUUACUUUGAAAAAUUAGAGUGUUUAAAGCAAGCUAACGCUUGAAUACAUUAGCACGGAAUAAUGAAAUAGGACGUUCGAUCCUAUUUUGUUGGUUUCUAGGAUUGACGUAAUGAUUAAUAGGGAUAGUUGGGGGCAUUAGUAUUCAAUUGUCAGAGGUGAAAUUCUUGGAUUUAUUGAAGACUAACUACUGCGAAAGCAUUUGCCAAGGAUGUUUUCAUUAAUCAAGAACGAAAGUUAGGGGAUCGAAGCGAUCAGAUACCGUCGUAGUCUUAACCAUAAACUAUGCCGACUAGGGAUCGGAUGAUGUUAAUUUUUAAUGACUCAUUCGGCGCCUUACGG